AGUUUUUUUAUACGGCUAGUUUGAGGCAUACCUUAGCAAGGCGUCUGCCAGAGAGUUCGUGUGCUAGUGCGUGAAGUCUAGGAAGAAACAGUUGAUGUUCGGCUGUGGGGUUCUCUCUUGUGUCUUCCUUCCCCCCUAUGUAUAGUUUUUUCGUAAUUACAGAAGUUGCCUUAAAUAUCUCCCCAUGACAUUGUAUUAUAUGGUAUAUACAGUAUGUAUGCUAAUAUUGUAAUAAAAUACACAAGUUUCGAGUAUAUAUAAUAUAUACACA